AUUGAACGCUGGCGGCAUGCCUAACACAUGCAAGUCGAGCGAGCGGCGGACGGGUGAGUAAUGUAUGGGGACUGCCCGAUAGGGGGGGAUCAAUACUGGAAACGGUGGCUAAUUCCGCAUACUCUCUGUUAACCCAUAUGGGAUUAGCUAGUAGGGGGGUUAAAGGCUCACAUAGGCGACGAUCGCUAGCGGGUCUGAGAGGAUGAUCACCCACACGGGAACGGAGACACGGCCCAGACCCCUCCGGAGGAGGCAGGGGGGAAUUUUGCACAAGGGGGGAAAGCCGACUGCAGCCAUGCCGCGUGUAUGAGGAAGGCCUUAGGGUUGUAAAGUACUUUCAGCGGGGAGGCGUUACCCGCAGAAGAAGCACCGGCUAACUCCGUGCCAGCAGCCGCGGUAAUAC
rnacentral:rRNA from 1 species